GAUGAACGCUGGCGGCGUGCCUAAUACAUGCAAGUCGAACGAGGUGCUUUUGUAGCAAUACGAGAGUAUCCUAGUGGCGAACGGGUGAGUAACGCGUUGGUGACCUACCCAAAGUGUGGGAUAACAGUCCGAAAGGAUUGCUAAUACCGCAUGUGGUCUUCGGGUUUAGAAACUGAUGACUAAAAGGAGCAAUUCGCUUUGGGAGGGACCUGCGUCCCAUCAGCUAGUUGGUGAGGUAAUGGCUCACCAAGGCUACGACGGGUAGGGGACCUGAGAGGGUGACCCCCCCACAAUGGAACUGAAACACGGUCCAUACACCUACGGGUGGCAGCAGUAGGGAAUAUUGCACAAUGGGCGAAAGCCUGAUGCAGCAACGCCGCGUGUGCGAUGAAGGCCUUCGGGUCGUAAAGCAC
rnacentral:rRNA from 1 species